UUUAAUCAAUAUAUAUGAAAUGUUCCUUCACUGGUUGCUUUACCCUAGUUAAAAUAAAAACACGGCAAUAAUUAUACUAAACAUAUUAUGGCUAAGAAUACACAAAAAUUUGGAACAAAAAAAUUUUCACGUUUUAUUUAAAGCUGUGCCAGAUUAUUAUAGAUUUUAUUAUAAGUUCUGCAAGAAACUAAUUAUUUAAUCUAUUUAUUAUAUGAAAUAAUAAAUUUGUGAGAGGAAAAAUUACGUCUGGAAUAUAUUCAUAAAAUAUCCAGAUAAAAUAUAUUCAUAAAAUAUCUAGAUGAUUAUAAAAAAUCAUAAAAUAUCUUGGUAGAAAUUAUCUUUGAAAUCGGAAAUCUAAUUUAAUCUCAGCGUUACAUGCAUCUUAUUCGAACCGCUUUCGCCAGCAAAUUGUUAGGGAGAAAAUAUGAAGAUCGCAGCCUUUUAGCAAACUCCGUUUGAAAGCGCGAAGUUACAGGUUUUACAAGAGAAGUUUUGGAGAAAAAAUUAUCCACGUUAAGUUCCUGAAAUGCAACGGAGAAUUAUUUGCAGUUAGGUAGUCGAUAAGUAACCAUGCGUGAGGGGGAGAAAGCGAAUGAUGCUCACAAGCUCCGCCAUUACAACGACUGAAUUGAUUUGCCAUUGCUAGAGUUUCUUUUAUCGUUCUACUCAAUAAUAUAAUUUAUAAUUGCUACUUUUCCUAAAAAUUAAACGUUUCAUGUAGUUGGUUUCGAGAAAUAAUUAGUCUAUCAAAUAAGAUAUUUGUGUCCUAUUGCGUCCUGUUUCUCAAAGUGAUCUGACAGAGUCUUGGAAAGAAUUAGGCUAAACAUAUUAAUAUGUAGUGUGGUUUGUGUUGCAAAAUUCAAUCACAAUAUAUAUUAAAGAGAUUUUGGCUGUCAUGUUCUACUCUCACUGUUCUUGUGAAAGGUUAUAGGAGUCUUCUAUUCUUCCUUAAAGAUGUUGGAUAUUAGUAUUUAGCUUUGUCUGAUCAAAUCUUCUCACUGAUGCAAACCAGCCAUUGGACGAUUUUUUUAUUCCAAAAUGAGAACAGAAA